rnacentral:rRNA from 1 species
AUUGAACGCUGGCGGCAGGCCUAACACAUGCAAGUCGAGCGAGCGGCGGACGGGUGAGUAAUGUAUGGGGAUCUGCCUGAUAGAGGGGGAUAACUACUGGAAAUGGUGGCUAAUACCGCAUACCAUCGGAUGAACCCAUAUGGGAUUAGCUAGUGGGUGGGGUAACGGCUCACCUAGGCGACGAUCCCUAGCUGGUCUGAGAGGAUGACCAGCCACACUGGAACUGAGACACGGCCCAGACUCCUACGGGAGGCAGCAGUGGGGAAUAUUGCACAAUGGGCGCAAGCCUGAUGCAGCCAUGCCGCGUGUAUGAAGAAGGCCUUAGGGUUGUAAAGUACUUUCAGCGGGGAGGCGUUACCCGCAGAAGAAGCACCGGCUAACUCCGUGCCAGCAGCCGCGGUAAUUC